rnacentral:rRNA from 1 species
UGGCUGUCGUCAGCUCGUGUCGUGAGAUGUUGGGUUAAGUCCCGCAACGAGCGCAACCCUUGUCAUUAGUUGCUACAUUCAGUUGGGCACUCUAAUGAGACUGCCGGUGACAAGCCGGAGGAAGGUGGGGAUGACGUCAAGUCCUCAUGGCCCUUAUAGGUGGGCUACACACGUCAUACAAUGGCUGGUAACAAAGGGUUGCCCAACCCGCGAGGGGGAGCCAAUCCCAUAAAGCCAGUCGUAGUCCGGAUCGUAGUCUGCAACUCGACUACGUGAAGUCGGAAUCGCUAGUAAUCGUGGAUCAGAAUGUCACGGUGAAUACGUUCCCGGGUCUU